AGCAGCUUGACUGGGUGCAAGUACCCUGACAUAGUCUGCCGUGAAGAUCCGCGAUCUGCCGCCGCCGCCGAGUUCCGGGAACGGAAAAGGAUCCGUCUCCUGCCGUCCCUCCGCCUGCUAGGUGGUCGAGCAUUCUGGGACACUGGAGCUAGCUGGUUUGCGUCUCGGAGAAGCACCUGCAAUGGCUGGAACUGCAAUUGGGCAGCUGGUAAGCUUAUUUACGGAUAAGCUUAUUGACCUGUAUAACAUUCUGAUGGUCCAG